AGGGUUCGAUUCUGGCUCAGGAUGAACGCUAGCGGCAGGCUUAACACAUGCAAGUCGAGGGGCAGCACGGUGUAGCAAUACACGUGGUGGCGACCGGCGGAAAGGGUGGGUAACGCGUGAGCAACAUGCCCGAUAGUGGAGGAUAGUCGAUGGAAACGUCGCGUAAUACUCCGUAACAACAGGGACCGCAUGAUCCUUGUUUAAUAGAUUUAUUGCUAUCGGAUUGGCUCGCGUACCAUUAGGUAGUUGGUGAGGUAACGGCCCACCAAGCCGACGAUGGUUAGGGGUUCUGAGAGGAAGGUCCCCCACAUUGGAACUGAGACACGGUCCAGACUCCUACGGGAGGCAGCAGUGAGGAAUAUUGGUCAAUGGCCGAAAGGCUGAACCAGCCAUGCCGCGUGCGGGAAGAACCGGCCCUAUGGGUUGUAAACCGCUUUUGUGUGGGAGCAAUAAGUGCCACGUGUGGCAUGAUGAGAGUACCAUACGAAUAAGCAUCGGCUAACUCCGUGCCAGCCGCCGC
rnacentral:rRNA from 1 species